rnacentral:lncRNA from 10 species
CUUCGCAGGAGCUUCUCUUGCUGUUUCUGAGUCGGUUGUGUGUGGCUGAUAAACAGGCUUUUGGGUCUGAAGGCAUUAAAGUCCAAGCAAGUUGAUACAUACUGGAGCAGAUCAGAUAUGCUGUCUGAAGAGUGGGGCAGUUUUUCCACCUUUAUAAAGGCUAGAUUAAUAUUCCUACUAAUUACAUUCUAGGAAUGGCCAAUUCAUUCAAUUCAAAUCACUUGCAAAGGCGGUGAGGGAUGAGAAGGCCAGAAACUGUCCUUAUCCUCUUAGGGAUCUGUGGGUGAGUGCAGACUCUCCGUGCUUCUCCCAUUUCGCUGCUGAGGGCUCACUUGCAGGACAACAGAGUGGGAAGGCCAGUAGCCCAAGUCCUGCUGGGCUAUACCACAAAGACUGGACUAAGACUCUCGCACUGGUGAUGAAAUACUCACUUUUCCACUCAAGCCGCCUGGAAACUUCCUCGGGACCUCUGAAAGGGCUGCCCCUGAGCAGAACUCUCCCUCUCCCCAGCGCAGAGCCCUGCCGGGCAGAGGCCACUGGCUGCUCUCCCACCCCAGAAUGUGGAUCUUCACAAGAGGCCUGUGUCAACAGCCCUAUCAGGAAGAUCACAUGACACAGCCUUUGUCUCCUUCCUGCCGGUGUGUCGGUGGUCAUGACCAAUGACUGCAACAGGGGACUGCCAGGGGAGGAAAAAUGCUUCAUCUAUAUUCUAGCUGUCAAAGAGGAAGACAAGACACCUCCCCAGCUGCCUUCCACCACAGCCCAGAAAGGCCCUGCUUCUCCUACCUGAAUGGUUCGGUGCGGGAGAACAACUAGAGACACAGGAAACUAGGUCUCCAGCCAGGAGCCCACUGUCCUCCCUCCAUGGAAAUGAAAGACAAGUUGCUUUGAUCACCUUGGAGACCAACCACCUCCUUCUUCUGAAAGCUAACCCCACCUUAGCAGCAGCUGCCUCCCCUCCCCCCAGGAGCCCCACUCCCUCCACUCGGCUUGAGUAUCAGGCUAAUCAGUUUGAUCUGACAGAUUUUAAUUACAUUAAUUAGGGCUUUUCUGAAUAGGCCUGAUUAGCAUCCUACCAAGGGUUCUUUGGUGGUGGUUUUUUUUGUUUGUUUUGGUUUUGUUUUUUUUUCCCUUCUUCUCUAAAGCAGCUCUGCUAGCAUCAGGACUAAUACUUUCAUUUCUUCAAACAAUGGUGACAUUUUUGUCUUGCUCAAGGUAAAUAAUCAGAUAUUUGGAGGCGCCAAGUGUGACAGUGUAUUUUAUAAUAAUAUCACCCAUGAGGAUACGGAGUAGGCUCUGCAUCUAUCUCAUGAACCUUGGUGGGGAAGAAGAGAUUGUUUAGGACAUUUCUCUAGAACAUAGGCAUUGGUUUUGUUUAGCUUUUGCCUAAGGAAAACUCUACAUUGAGUUUUAAAGAUCCAACCUCUUCCAGAUCUUCCCCCGCACCCCCAAUCAGACUGAAGCACAAAGAUAUUCUUACCUCUCUGUAUCAUUUUGUUGACCCCGUUUUAGAGAGAAUCAGUGAUAGUCACAGAAAAGCAAACAGAGAUUUAGCCUUUGUCUCUCCAUUGUUUCUUAAAAUAAAAAUACCUUGAGUGUCAACAAGGUUUUUACUGAAAAUAUUUAACUACUUUCAGCCACUAAUAAAAGAGAACAACGUUGAUUUCUCAAAAUACUGUACAAAGAUUAGCAUGGCACAUAUAUUUGCCUUUGUUGAUCAUCUGUGCUAUAAUUACUGCUUUAAAAUAUGCUGUUUUGAAUAAGCCACAAUAAAUGAGGGCGUAGUUCCAGACACCAGGAAGAAAAUCUACCAAACUAAAUAAAGUCUGUUUGCUUUUUU